GACGAACGCUGGCGGCGUGCUUAACACAUGCAAGUCGAACGGUAAGGCCCUUCGGGGUACACGAGUGGCGAACGGGUGAGUAACACGUGGGUGAUCUGCCCUGCACUUCGGGAUAAGCCUGGGAAACUGGGUCUAAUACCGGAUAGGACCACUGCCUGCAUGGGUGGGGGUGGAAAGCUUUUGCGGUGUGGGAUGGGCCCGCGGGCUAUCAGCUUGUUGGUGGGGGGAUGGCCUACCAAGGGGACGACGGGUAGCCGGCCUGGGAGGGUGACCGGCCACACUGGGACUGAGAUACAGCCCAGACUCCUACGGGAGGCAGCAGGGGGGAAUAUUGCACAAUGGGCGCAAGCCUGAUGCAGCGACGCCGCGUGAGGGAUGACGGCCUUCGGGUUGUAAACCUCUUUCAGCACCGACGAAGCGCAAGUGACGGUAGGUGCAGAAGAAGGACCGGCCAACUACGUGCCAGCCGCCGCGGUAA
rnacentral:rRNA from 1 species